GGUGCAGGGAAUCCUGGCCAAUAUACCGUUGAAGGUGGCCUACUGUCGUACUACGAGGUGUGUAAAAACCUGGGUGAAGGCUGGACUAGAGCGUUCAACUACGAGCACAAAGUUCCUUAUGCCUACAACAGUGCCUCGCUGCAGUGGGUGGGCUAUGAUGACGUAGAAAGUAUUGGAUACAAGGCUGACUUUGCGUGUAGACAGCAAUUGGGCGG